rnacentral:snoRNA from 1 species
GGCCUCUCUCCUGUGGGGCGAGGUGCGAGGGCUCUCUUUUCUCCUCAGCCCUUGGGCUGGAGGCCAAGUUCAGCUCUGCAGGAUCACUGGGCAGCCUUGUUUCCUACCUCUGAUAUUU